rnacentral:lncRNA from 1 species
AGGUCUUUCCUCUUACUCAAAUAUUUUUUUUUACUAUUUUAUUAAAUAGUAACGUCGGUAUGAGCUGACACUAAGUCCAUUCCCCAUUAUUUAUUUAUUUAUUAAAAUAAUAAUGUCAUUCUUAUCCGAUGUUAAUUCAUUAACCUGCGAGAAUAUUUUUUCCCCAUAAUUUGUAUUUUCUUUAGUAAAAAAUCAAAGAAAAAAACUCUAAACCUCAUAAUUCACUUGUUCUUCUCUUUCAUUCCCACUUUUCCUUUC